rnacentral:rRNA from 1 species
CCUACGGGUGGCAGCAGUGAGGAAUAUUGGUCAAUGGGCGGGAGCCUGAACCAGCCAAGUCGCGUGAGGGAUGACGGCCCUAUGGGUUGUAAACCUCUUUUGCCGGGGAGCAAGUGCCGCACGUGUGCGGAUUGGAGAGUACCCGGAGAAAAAGCAUCGGCUAACUCCGUGCCAGCAGCCGCGGUAAUACGGAGGAUGCGAGCGUUAUCCGGAUUUAUUGGGUUUAAAGGGUGCGUAGGCGGGCGCUUAAGUCAGCGGUAAAAUUGCGGGGCUCAACCUCGUCGAGCCGUUGAAACUGGGUGCCUUGAGUGGGCGAGAAGUACGCGGAAUUCGUCGUGUAGCGGUGAAAUGCUUAGAUAUGACGAAGAACCCCGAUUGCGAAGGCAGCUUGCUGCAGCGGAACUGACGCUGAUGCUCGAAAGCGCGGGUAUCGAACAGGAUUAGAUACCCCUGUAGUC